UACGUAGGGGGCGAGCGUUAUCCGGAUUUAUUGGGCGUAAAGCGUGUGUAGGCGGUUUAUUAAGUAUAAGAUUAAAGCCUGAGGCUUAACCUCAGUUCGUCUUAUAAACUGGUAGACUUGAGUAUGGUAGAGGCAAAUGGAAUUUCUAGUGUAGCGGUAAAAUGCGUAGAUAUUAGAAGGAACACCAGUGGCGAAGGCGGUUUGCUGGGCCAUUACUGACGCUGAGACACGAAAGCGUGGGGAGC
rnacentral:rRNA from 1 species